CAGGCUCCAGGCUCCGAGCUGACAGCACAGAGCCCGACGUGGGGCUCGAACUCACACACCGUGAGAUCAUGACCUGAGCCGAAGUCGGAUGCUCAACUGACUGAGCUACCCAGGCGCCCCCAGCCUGAUCGUUUUAAAUCACUGCUUGCUUUGGCCUACCUGCCAGGCCCUCUCUUCUGGCUGAGGCUUCAGAGGCUCCGUGUUGGUCCACUCCCCCCUCUUCAUCCAAUCCAUGGCCCCCCGAGGGAAAUCCAGACAGUCUGCUGAUAAUUCUUAGCUCCUUUCUAAAUGUGCACUCUUAGCAACUAAAACCAGUUCAAACACCCCUCUCUUCCACGAGGCCUCAUAAAGUGCCUUACACAGAGCACCACUCAGGACAUCUUGGUCGAGUGAAUCAAUAUGUGCGUAUUCCCAGCUCAGGAUAAACUCGUGCUGCGAACAACUUAGCUACCGGCCAGUCAUCGAACUGCUCUGAGACUACUUGGCACCACAGACCUCCGGAAUACCGUCCACCUGGAACUGGGAAAAACUCAGGGAACACAGAGACAACGAGGAACCGAGUUUCUGUGCUUGAGGAGCCCUCGGUGUGUGGUCGGGGUGAGCCGGCUGUCGAUGUAAAUGUUGAACCCAUGAAAGGCUUACCACGUUUGAACUAGUUCUGAUAGGGGUAGGACAGAGUCCACGCUUCCUCACCCCUGUCUACAAGCAUGCGCCAUGCCUCCAGCCACAACCACAGGACUCAUGGACUCCACUCAGAGUCAGACUGGUCUAAUGGCAAGAAGCAACGGACUAGGAAUGGGGAAGAUGAUAAAGCAGGUUAUACAGUUCUUGACAUGCAGAAAAUGAUCAAUAGAGGUUAGUUGGUGUCAUCAUUGUUAGGUGUGGCCACUUAAACAUAUGACUUUAGGCAAGCUGCUGGGACUCUCUUAUAGAUUAGAGUGGCUUGCCUACACUCUGGGGUUCCAGCGAUAAUAAAUGAAGAUAAAGACAAUGAGAAAUGCUUUGAAAAAGGACAAUCGAAGGCAAGACCUUGUGAUUUCCCUUAUCACCCAACAAGCUUCUGGAACCACAUCAUCACUAG